GACGUAGGGGGCAAGCGUUAUUCGGAAUCAUUGGGCGUAAAGCGCUCGUAGGCGGAUCGGACAGUCGGUGAAGAAAGACCCGGGCUCAACUCGGGGAACGGCACCGAUACUAUCGAUCUUGAGGCAAUCAGAGGGUGAUGGAAUUCCCGGUGUAGCGGUGAAAUGCGUAGAUAUCAGGAAGAACACCCGUGGCGAAGGCGGCUCUCUGGGACGGUACUGACGCUGAGACGCGAAAGCGUGGGGAGCGAACAGG
rnacentral:rRNA from 1 species